rnacentral:rRNA from 1 species
UAUUGCGCAUGGGCGAAAGCCUGNCGCAGCGACGCCGCGUGGGGGAUGAAGGUCUUCGGAUUGUAAACCCCUUUCGGGAGGGAAGAUGGAAUGGGGUAACCCAUUCGGACGGUACCUCCAGAAGCAGCCACGGCUAACUUCGUGCCAGCAGCCGCGGUAAUACGAAGGUGGCAAGCGUUGUUCGGAUUUACUUGGGCGUACAGGGAGCGUAGGCNGGUUCGGUAAGCCCUUUGUGAAAUCUCCAGGCUUAACCUGGAACAGUCGGAGGGGACUGCCGGGCUAGAGGACGGGAGAGGAGCGCGGAAUUCCCGGUGUAGCGGUGAAAUGCGUAGAGAUCGGGAGGAAGGCCGGUGGCGAAGGCGGCGCUCUGGAACGUUUCUGACGCUGAGGCUCGAAAGCGUGGGGAGCAAACAGGAUUAGAUACCCUGGUAGUCCACGCCUUAAACUAUGAAUACUAAGUGUCGGCGGGUUACCGCCGGUGCCGCAGCUAACGCAUUAAGUAUUCCGCCUGGGAAGUACGGCCGCAAGGUUGAAACUCAAAGAAAUUGACGA